GUCGGCGGCCACAGCGGGGGGGAAACGCCCGGAACCAUCCCGAACCCGGAAGCUAAGCCCCCCAGCGCCGAUGGUACUGCCGGCGAGGGCCGGCGGGAGAGCAGGACACCGCCGACA
rnacentral:rRNA from 1 species